rnacentral:rRNA from 1 species
UACGUAGGGGGCAAGCGUUGUCCGGAUUCAUUGGGCGUAAAGAGCGUGUAGGCGGCCAGGUAGGUCGGUUGUGAAAACUGGAGGCUCAACCUUCAGAGGUCGACCGAAACCAUCUGGCUAGAGUCCGGGAGAGGAGAGUGGAAUUCCUGGUGUAGCGGUGAAAUGCGCAGAUAUCGGGAGGAACACCUGUGGCGAAAGCGGCUCACUGGACCACAACUGACGCUGAGGCGCGAAAGCUAGGGGAGCAAACAGG